AUUGAACGCUGGCGGCAGGCCUAACACAUGCAAGUCGAGCGAGUGGCGGACGGGUGAGUAAUGCAUGGGGAUCUGCCUGAUGGAGGGGGAUAACUACUGGAAACCGUAGCCAAUACCGCCUACCAUCGGAUGAACCCAUAUGGGAUUAGGUGGUUGGUGAGGUAACGGCUCACCAAGGCGACGAUCCCUAGCUGGUCUGAGAGGAGGAUCAGCCACACUGGGACUGAGACACGGCCCAGACUCCUACGGGAGGCAGCAGUGGGGAAUAUUGCACAAUGGGGGCAAACCUGAUGCAGCCAUGCCGCGUGUAUGAAGAAGGCCUUCGGGUUGUAAAGUACUUUCAGUAGGGAGGCGUUACCGACAGAAGAAGCACCGGCUAACUCCGUGCCAGCAGCCGCGGUAAUAC
rnacentral:rRNA from 1 species